rnacentral:rRNA from 1 species
UACGUAGGGUGCGAGCGUUAAUCGGAAUACUGGGCGUAAAGCGUGCGCAGGCGGUGAUGUAAGACAGUUGUGAAAUCCCCGGGCUCAACCUGGGAACUGCAUCUGUGACUGCAUCGCUGGAGUGCGGCAGAGGGGGAUGGAAUUCCGGCGUGUAGCAGUGAAAUGCGUAGAUAUGCGGAGGAACACCGAUGGCGAAGGCAAUCCCCUGGGCCUGCA